AAGAAACUCAGACUCUGCGGACUCUCGGAGACAUCGUCUAGCAACCUGAGGGCUGACCGGAGUGGUACUUGAGAUGAUUGCCUUUGAAAGCUUGAGAAUGUGAGAUGUAAAGGACUGAAAUAUGACAGCUUUUUAAAAAUUGAUAACCUUUGUAUGGCAGGGAGAAGACAUGGACAUGCUUUUCAGAAGAUGACUAUGGAUGUUACUUUGGGACAGACUUCAAGUAGGUUUACCAGUCAUGGAAGAAAUCGAAGGAAAAUUACAAAAUAGUCGCUGAAACCACAGAACUAAGGAUAGUAAUAACUGACCUACUUCAGCUUAGAACAAGCCAGCUGCCACAAAUCUGUCAGCUACCAGAAAUGGAAUGCUGUGAACAAUCACAUGGUUGGAGAAGUGGAUGUUUCCCCCAGAUAGGAAUCCAGCACUGGAUUUUUGCAGCCUUGUGAAACCCUACACAAAAAUCCCUGAGAACUCAUGCUUGCACUCCUGACUUAAAACUGGAUAAAUUGAUUUUUUAGCUAUGAGGAUGAAAUGCUUAGCUGGUGCACCAUGCACACAAGAUUAAGG